rnacentral:rRNA from 1 species
AUGGCCGCAUCCCCGUCGACUACCUCGCGGAGAAGAUGGGGCUUCCCUUCGUGCCUACGUACCUGGAGCAGAGCAUGCGCAUCGGCAGCGGCGGUGUUGGCCUCAAGAGAAGGGAGCUGGCGGGGAGGCCUGGGACGUGGGGUGGGCUCUGCCUGCGGCUCGGCCAGGCCGCGCUUGCCGCCGCCUCCCUCGCCGUCAUGCUAUCUGAUUGCGUCGAUGGGAUUGCAAGCACUGUGGAGCUUGGGACUUGCAUGUCUUGAUGGAUACGUCCUUAAAGUCAAAAGAGAUCUCAACAAUGCUGUUUUAGUGAGCUUAUUUGUUGUCGGGGACUGGGUCACCCAUCCUCGAGGGGCAGAAGGAGGGACGCAUCUAGUUGGCCAUCAAGGACCUGCUCUGCUCCUCUUCCUUGCAGAAGUCAGCCUCCGGCCAUGGCGGAUCUGCAGACGCCGCUGGUGCAACCAAAGAGGAAGAAGGUUCUGGUGGACUACCUGCUACGGUUUGCUUCGGUGUUUCUGGAUUUACACUGAAUUGUACUAUCUACAUCGCAUUCAUAAAGGUUUGCAUUGUUUUGCUCUCUGUUUGGGUGUAGAGUGUGAAAAAGGAACAAAAUAA